GGCGUAGGGCGCGAGCGUUGUCCGGAUUUAUUGGGCGUAAAGAGCUCGUAGGCGGCUAAGUAAGUCAGGUGUGAAAACUCGAGGCUCAACCUCGAGACGUCGAUGGAAACCAUCUAGCUAGAGUCCGGAAGAGGAGAGUGGAAUUCCUGGUGUAGCGGUGAAAUGCGCAGAUAUCAGGAAGAACACCCGUGGCGAAGGCGGCUCUCUGGUACGUGACUGACGCUGAGACGCGAAAGCGUGGGGAGCGAACAGG
rnacentral:rRNA from 1 species